UGGAUCACCUCCUAACAGGGAGACAACAAAAUGUUUAAUAUUAUUAUUUUGUCACCUUAGGUCGAUCGGUAUCUCACGUUCUUAAUUUAUUAAGAAUUUCAUUUCCUAAGUUUUUCUAGGUCACACCCAUUAUUUUUCCUGGGCCAUUAGCUCAGGUGGUUAGAGCGCACCCCUGAUAAGGGUGAGGUCCCUGGUUCAAGUCCAGGAUGGCCCAUAUCUCUAUGUUGGGGGUAUAGCUCAGUUGGUAGAGCGCCUGCUUUGCAAGCAGGAUGUCAGCGGUUCGAGUCCGCUUACCUCCACUGAUUACCACCUCUUCCAUAAUUUGAAGAAAGGAAUUUUUUGAGUUGUGAUCAAAUUCUGAACGAAUCUAGCUUCCUAAUGAAUCCAUUAAGAUGCUGGACUCAUUGAAUUAAUUUUCAUUGUUUUCAGAGAACCUUGACAACUGCAUAGAUUAUUUUUAAAGACAAUAAGCAUCUUUAAUGAUGCAGAUUUAUUAUUUGUGCGAAUGCAUUAAUAACAAUUCUAUUAAGCUGAUGCUUCAAUUUAAUGAAGUUAUUGGUCAAGCUACAAAGGGCUCACGGAGGAUACCUAGGCACACAGAGGCGAUGAAGG
rnacentral:tRNA from 1 species